rnacentral:lncRNA from 1 species
UAUAUAGUUGAGCUAGAAUACUAUCUAUAGCAAACGGGCUUCGUUGCCACCCAUUUGUUUUCGAUGAUGGAGCCUCCAAAUCGACGAUCGGCACCAUUAAACAUGAUCUAUACCACUUGAAGUGUUUAGAAAUGAAAUUUCAUACAAUUUCAACAUUGUUCUCUUAUCCAUCGAGUGGACACAAAAAUGAACGGCUGAAAAUGAAUACUCUUAAAAAAAUGAUGAUAGGAGUCUUGUAAUCAAGAUCAAGAGUAUAUCUCUUGUUUUAAAUAGUUUAAAAAUUUUCUAACAAAAAUUUAAUUGAUUUGGAUAUUUUUAUGCCGUUAAACGAGAAAACGUCUCAUAUCGACUAUUAAAAUUACAAAAUUUGAAACCUUUUGAUCAUUAGGCAAAUAAUGUCGAAAAGAUUUCAAAUUUGAUUUCUAAACAAUUCAAAUGAUAUAAAUCAUGUUCAACGGUGCCGAUCGUCAAUUUGGAAGCUCUAUCAUCGAAAAUAAAUGGGUGGCAACGGAACCCAUUUGCUAUCGAUAGUAUUCUAGAUCAACUAUAUAUAUAUAUAUAUAUAUAUAUAUAUAUAUAUAUAUAUAUAAAGGGUAAACUUCAAAUACCCCCUUUGUGGUUUCACACUUUCUUACUUUAGUUUACAGUGGUUAAAGUGUAUCAAGUUAGCCCAUGUGGUUUCGCACGUUCUCACUUUAGUACCCUAUGGUUUAAAGUAUAUCAAGUUAGUAUCCUCUGAUUUUAUUUUUCUCUUUUUAUUAUCUAUUUCACUUAUUUUUUUAUUAAAUCAGUGAUAAAGUUAAAAUUAAAGGGUAUAAAAGUGAAUAUUCAAUAAACUUAGGUAGGGUAUCUGAAGUUUUUUGUAUAUAAUUUAACAAAAUAUUAACGGAAAAAAAAAUCAGUGACAAAAUUAAAACUAAAGGGUAUUAAAGUAAAUAUUUGAUAUACCUAGAUAGGGUAUCUAACGUUUUUUGUAUAUAAUUUAAUGAAAUAUUAACAGAAAGCCGACGAAAGAAAAAAAAUGAAACCACAUGCAUGGUACUAAAUAGGUGCACUUUAAAUCACAUGGUACUAAAGUGAGAAAAUGCGAAACCACAGGAUACUAAAUUGAUAUAUUUUAAACCACAGAAACUAAAGUGAAAAAAUGCGAAAUCACAUGGAUAGUAUUUAAAAUUUUUCCAAAAAAAAUUUACCCUCGUAAUACUGUUCCCUU